UAAGUGAAUAAGGGCGCACGGGGGAUGCCUAGGCUCUCAGAGGCGAAGAAGGACGUGAUAACCUGCGAAAAGCUACGGGGAUUGGCCAAUGCGAAUUGAUCCGUAGAUAUCCGAAUGGGGCAACCCAGUCUUUAAGACUAUCCAGUAAUGGAAGCGAACGUGGGGAACUGAAACAUCUAAGUACCCAUAGGAGGAGAAAAUAAUAAUGAUUCCGUAAGUAGUGGCGAGCGAACGCGGAAGAGCCCAAACCGGAUAUGUUACGGCAUAUCCGGGGUUGUAGGACCUGCAUAAUUUUGAUUAAUCUGACGAGAAUUGUCUGGGAAGGCAAACGAUACAGGGUGAUAGUCCCGUAUUGGAAGGAUUGAGAAGAAGGCGGGUAUCCUGAGUAGGUCGGGACCGGAGAAAUCCCGAUUGAAACUGCCAGCACCAUCUGGUAAGGCUAAAUACUCCUGAGAGACCGAUAGUGAACAAGUACCGUGAGGGAAAGGUGAAAAGUACCCUGAAUAAGGGGGUGAAAUAGAACCUGAAACCAUGCGCUUACAAGCGGUUGGAGCCCAAUAAUUGGGUGACAGCGUGCCUUUUGCAUAAUGAGCCUACGAGUUACUCCUCAUCGGCAAGGGUAAGGCAUUCAGUGCUGUACCCGGAGCGAAAGCGAGUCUGAAAGGGCGAUUGAGUCGGUGGGGGUAGACGCGAAACUUAGUGAUCUACCCAUGGCCAGGUUGAAGUGUUGGUAACACAACAUGGAGGACCGAACCGAUAAGCGUUGAAAAGCUUCCGGAUGAGCUGUGGGUAGGGGUGAAAGGCCAAUCAAACUCGGAAAUAGCUCGUACUCCCCGAAAUGCAUUUAGGUGCAGCGUUGAUUUAUAGUUUUAUAGAGGUAGAGCUACUGAUUGGAUGCGGGGGCUUCACCGCCUACCAAUUCCUGACAAACUCCGAAUGCUAUAAAAUGUUAAUCAGCAGUGAGGGCAUGGGUGCUAAGGUCCAUGUCCGAAAGGGAAAGAACCCAGACCAUCAGCUAAGGUCCCCAAAUAUAUGUUAAGUUGAAUAAACGAGGUUGAACUGCUUUGACAGCUAGGAUGUUGGCUUGGAAGCAGCCAUUCAUUUAAAGAGUGCGUAACAGCUCACUAGUCGAGCGGUUCAGCAUGGAUAAUAAUCGGGCAUAAACAUAUUACCGAAGCUAUGGACUUGAAAAAGUGGUAGGGGAGCAUUGUAGUGGCGUUGAAGGUGUGUUGUGAGGCAUGCUGGAGUAGCUACAAAAGAAAAUGUAGGCAUAAGUAACGAUAAUGCGGGCGAGAAACCCGCACUCCGAAAGACUAAGGUUUCCUCAGCUAUGCUAAUCAGCUGAGGGUUAGUCGGGGCCUAACGCGAACCCGAAAGGGGUAGUGGAUGGAUAACAGGUUAAUAUUCCUGUACCUGCUCAUACUAAAAGUGACGGAGGCGAAAAGUUAGUGCGCACAGACGGAAUUGUGCGUUAAAGAGAGUGGUAACACCUUGAUAGUACACUAAGACUACGGUCGCGGUGAUAAUCUAGCAAAUCGACUUCCAAGAAAAGCGAAUGAAGCAGCCCGUACCCUAAACCGACACAGGUAGUUGGGAUGAGAAUUCUAAGGAGCUCGAGAGAUUCAUGGCUAAGGAACUAGGCAAAAUAGACCUGUAACUUCGGGAGAAAGGUCGCCACCCUUUGGGGUGGCCGCAGUGAAAAGGUCCAGGCGACUGUUUAUCAAAAACACAGGGCUAUGCUAAAUUGAAAGAUGAUGUAUAUGGCCUGACACCUGCCCGGUGCUGGAAGGUUAAGUGGAGUUGUUAGUUUAGGCGAAGCAAUCAAAUGAAGCCCCAGUAAACGGCGGCCGUAACGAUAACGGUCCUAAGGUAGCGAAAUUCCUUGUCGGGU
rnacentral:rRNA from 1 species